UGCGACCUCAGGUCAGCGGGGGGCU
rnacentral:rRNA from 1 species